UUCUGACCCAGGAGAUACAUCGCUAACAGAUUACGAAUCGAAGAUGAAGAUCCACACCUUGACUGCAGCUGCUUCAAGAUAUAUGCGUCUGCAGUUCAUCUAAGCAUGCUGGAAAGGACAUAUUGACUGGAAGGAGUACAUGAAAUACUGAAAGUGCAAAAAAGAUAGACAUCUUCUGAGGGAUACAAAGACUAAACCCGAGUAAGAAGAUUCUUGGAUUGAAGCAAUUGUGAGAAAUUGCACAAAACCCCUUAAG
rnacentral:lncRNA from 1 species